rnacentral:rRNA from 1 species
GAUCAUGGCUCAGGAUGAACGCUGGCGGCGUGCUUAACACAUGCAAGUCGAACGAAGCGCUUGAGAUUGAUUCUUCGGAAGAUUUCUCUUGUGACUUAGUGGCGGACGGGUGAGUAACGCAUGGGUAACCUGCCUCACACAGGGGGAUAACAGUUGGAAACGACCGCUAAUACCGCAUAACCCGCUAGGGCCGCAUGGCCCGGACGGAAAAGAUUUAUCGGUGUGAGAUGGACCCGCGUUGGAUUAG